rnacentral:rRNA from 1 species
GACGAACGCUGGCGGCGUGCUUAACACAUGCAAGUCGAACGGAAAGGCCCUGCUUUUGUGGGGUGCUCGAGUGGCGAACGGGUGAGUAACACGUGAGUAACCUGCCCUUGACUUUGGGAUAACUUCAGGAAACUGGGGCUAAUACCGGAUAGGAGCUCCUGCUGCAUGGUGGGGGUUGGAAAGUUUCGGCGGUUGGGGAUGGACUCGCGGCUUAUCAGCUUGUUGGUGGGGUAGUGGCUUACCAAGGCUUUGACGGGUAGCCGGCCUGGGAGGGUGACCGGCCACAUUGGGACUGAGAUACGGCCCAGACUCCUACGGGAGGCAGCAGGGGGGAAUAUUGCACAAUGGGCGGAAGCCUGAUGCAGCAACGCCGCGGGCGGGAUGACGGCCUUCGGGUUGUAAACCGCUUUCGCCUGCGACGAAGCGUGAGUGACGGUAAUGGGUAAAGAAGCACCGGCUAACUACGUG